CCUUUCGCUUUCCACUAUGAUUAUGAGGCAUCACUAGCCACAUGGAACUGGAGUAGAGAGGCCUGAGAAGAGGGAGAGAGAUGGGGGAACCGCUGGUCAUUGGAACAGUCAGAACACACACAACAUUAAUCAUUUAAGUUUGCCAUCUUAUACGGGAGUGGUUGUGGUGCCUCUAAACAUAACAAGAACAAUAUCCCAGAUCACUGAUCCCAGAUCACCAUAACAGAUAUAAUAAUGAUGAAAAAGUUUAAGCUAUUGUGAAGAUUACCAAAAUGUGAUGCAUGGACACGAAGUGAGCACAUGCUAUUGGAAAAAUGAUGCCAACAGAUGUGCUUGAUGUGGAGUUGCCACAAACCUUCCAUUUGUACAGAAAAUACAAUAUCUGCAAAGCUCUGUAGAAUGCAGUGUGCCUGUAUGUGGUUGCUGAUCUGCUGACCUGCCCCAUGGGUAUGAAACAGCAGCCACACCUGCAAUGACUCUACCUUCCCAUGGAUCCUCCUUUCAUUGUCCUACUCCUAGGCUAAGCCUGUGCAUUCAGCUUUGUAAUGAAGAGACCUGGCUUCUAGAGGAUAACCUCAUCACUAAGGUCAGAGGCAACAAGAACUGGCCUGAGUUUCAGUCCCCUUUCGUGAGGUUCCAGUUCAUGCUUGUGAGUUUUUACUUAACUUUGAUCUCCCCCAACGUAUACCCACAAUCUCCUUCCCAACUGCCUGCCCAACCUCAAGCUCCAGCCCAGGACCAAGAGAUAAGAACCUUACAGGGACUGCUUUACCAGCUCUGACAGUUGUGGAAAGCCAGUUUUCUGUAACAAAUCAAAAAUUCUCAUCAGGACCUCAGGAAGAAGUCCAGGCCAAGGAUUCUCCUAAGUGUUCUUAGCUAUUGCCUACUUCUAUUUUACAUAACUGGCUUCGUGGUCCAGGAAUGCUUCUUUUUCUCGACAAUCACCAAACUGAAGUGCUACGAGGAAGACUGUUACCCUGAGGUCUAAUGCAUGUGUCUCUGAGAAUAAGACAAUUUUUCUUAGAGAAAUGGAGCAAUCACACAUGGAGCCCACUGAAGUUCAACCUUCUCUUGUAUAAUCACAUGCACUUGCCAGCCCAUGUAGUCAAGCCUGUCUACCCUUGUGAUUUUCUACAGAUAAAUGAGUAGGUCAUUCUCUUCUUUACCGUGUUUAUCUACAAGGGUACCAUCAUGAUAGAAAAGAUGAAAGUGGGACACAAAUAUGGAAGCAUCCAUUCACACUGCUCACCCAUAAGAGAUGGUGGUAAGUCCUCAAGGCAGUUUCUUUUUUUAACACAUGAACAUAUGGUCCCUGUAUCAUCUCAGGUCAUGUCACCCCUGUGGGGUAUUGAAUCCCUGCUGUUUGUUUAUGCCUUAUAACAUUUAUAUGUUCAGCUUCAGUGUGUGAAUUGUGUUCAGGAAAAUGCAUGCUUUAACACUAGAGGCAUAGAUGCAGCAUGCUAAGAGGACACUCUGCUUUCAAACAUGUGCACUCCUUUGACUAUGGAGCUCUCUAUAAGAAGCUACUGACUUGCUCCUUCCAUUGUACAGAGGAUCUCCAAUCCUUCCCUCCAGCUGAAAGCUGCUGUAUGUGCUAUUAGUCCCUUGCUCUCCUCCAAUGGCCAACUUCACAUUUGCAACAGUCUUCUUUCACAUAGUAUUUUAAAUGUCUCCUGUAGUCUGGGCCAACUCUGUAUAAUAACACUUGAAGGAAAAAAGAUGUAUAGAAAAGAAGAAAAUAAAACCCACAGAGCUACCUUAAAUUCCCAAGAAAUCAGAAAAUGUCCGUUUUCCAUAUAAAUAGCUAUAAAACCCCAGGAGCCACAAUUACCCUGCAGACCUGUAUGUCAUUUGCUGGACCACAAUAUUUUUCACUCUUACUGAACCCUCUUUCUUAAAGAUAAAUUUUUCUGUUGAUAAAGACAUGAGUUAUUUAUCCAAAGUCUUUUUCAGAAAAACACUUUAUCUUCAGGAGUUAGAGAAAAUCCUAGGUAAUUCUACCGUAACAUACCUUUUACUCCACCGCCCGCUCACCAGCC
rnacentral:lncRNA from 1 species